UGUGAACAUACCACUUGUUGCCUCGGCGGAUCAGCCCGCUCCCGGUAAAACGGGACGGCCCGCCAGAGGACCCCUAAACUCUGUUUCUAUAUGUAACUUCUGAGUAAAACCAUAAAUAAAUCAAAACUUUCAACAACGGAUCUCUUGGUUCUGGCAUCGAUGAAGAACGCAGCAAAAUGCGAUAAGUAAUGUGAAUUGCAGAAUUCAGUGAAUCAUCGAAUCUUUGAACGCACAUUGCGCCCGCCAGUAUUCUGGCGGGCAUGCCUGUUCGAGCGUCAUUUCAACCCUCAAGCACAGCUUGGUGUUGGGACUCGCGUUAAUUCGCGUUCCUCAAAUUGAUUGGCGGUCACGUCGAGCUUCCAUAGCGUAGUAGUAAAACCCUCGUUACUGGUAAUCGUCGCGGCCACGCCGUUAAACCCCAACUUCUGAAUGUUGACCUCGGAUCAGGUAGGAAUACCCGCUGAACUUAAGCAUAUC
rnacentral:rRNA from 1 species